UACGAAGGGGGCUAGCGUUGCUCGGAAUCACUGGGCGUAAAGCGCACGUAGGCGGAUUGUUAAGUCAGGGGGUGAAAUCCUGGAGCUCAACUCCAGAACUGCCUUUGAUACUGGCGAUCUCGAGUCCGGGAGAGGUGAGUGGAACUGCGAGUGUAGAGGUGAAAUUCGUAGAUAUUCGCAAGAACACCAGUGGCGAAGGCGGCUCACUGGCCCGGUACUGACGCUGAGGUGCGAAAGCGUGGGGAGCAAACAGG
rnacentral:rRNA from 1 species